ACGAUGCAAUGGAGCGCCCCUUCUUUGAUAACGGACAGGUGGUUUUUUCCUUCGUAAAUAGAAAAUUCAUUGUGUUCGAAUCAACGAUUCUCCGCGUGAAAUUGAGUUCAAAUGAGUGCCAUGACUACUACAAAUGAGUGCCAUUACACUAUACACAUUUCCAAUUUUCUUUGCAUUUUCAUUAACAGUGAUAAGAUAAAAGUGUAUGUAUCAAAUGUUAAUCAUUUCGAUCUAGACGAGAAGUCUUUAAUGAGUCUUUAUCUUUUGCUUUCGUAGAUGUAUGUAUCCAACCCCUUCAAGAAAAUGUAUGGCGUACACUCUGGAUUUAAACUUAGACUCUGGUUUGAUUUAAUUUAAUUUGUAACGUGAGUUAGAAGGUGGCGCCUAAUUUGGAAGUUGUAUCGAGACAUUACUAACUCCAGCGCUGACCCUGAAUACGUGCGCACACUUUUGCACACGUUGACGCACUUUCAAUUAUGCACGUUCACAAAUCCGAACUGAAAUAUUAUGCCAAUUCACACGAUCACACACUCAUUACAGAAUAUCGCGUGCGUUACAAUCAGGCUGUUACAAUCACGGUCCAGGAACGUAAACGGAGCAAAGGGCCAGAGGCGUGUAAUACUGAAAACCAGUGUAAAAUGUAAAUCGUGAUAGUCACUGCUGAGUAAUCAGUAAUCGUGAUUAAUAAUGAAUAAUCAAACACGAUCAGGAGAGACGCACGCAGCUAUUCUUCUUGCUUAAUCUAAAUGCAGACAAAACAGAAGAAUUAAAACAUGUAUAUAUAAUUGAUGUAUAGUAGAAAUUUAUUUACCAUAAAUUUACUAAAUAUGUAAACAUAAAAGAACGCUCGCGUUGUGCCCGUUGAAUGGAGUUUGAUUAUAGCUGCAAUAAAAUAACAUCCGUCUCCUAAACUACAUAGGCUGAAUGGAGUUUGAUUAAAUUGGCCAGCGUGUUUAAAUUUAGAUCGUUACAAUCGGCCGACCCUCGUGACUUCAUAAUGUACGGCACCAUCCUAUAGACCAAGCUACUCCAACUGAAAGGCCACCGUGGACCAGCUCAGCCCUGCGAGUGCAAGGACCACGCUGACAUCUUCCGUGAAAUGUGCAAUUGUUUUAUCGCUAACGGUUGACAAAGAAAGAAACCAUCACUGAGCGCGUGAGAACUUGCGAUGGGGAACGGCCCGGGGCUGACACAGGGCCGUUUCGGUGCGCCCUGGUCCCAAGGGCCUGAGUUGGAGUGGCCUGCUACAGACGACUAUAUAUGUUGCACUUCGAAAUGAAACAUUGACCGCAAUGCGACUCGCAUAUUCUAUUAGCAGUGCAGUAUAAAAGCAAUAAACAUUAUGUUCUCGUCACUGUGGUAAAAGAUCAUCGCCGAGUUCUUCAUCGCCAAAAUCGUCGUCCCUUUUUCCAACGGACGUCAUGGGACGGGUAGGUAGAGGACCUAUUGGAUCUAUGUAUGGAGUACCUACAUAACAUAUUUUAGAACAUUUACUUUUACAGUUAACUAUUUGUAACUGAACGUUAUCAUAUUUAGUAUUUUGUUAUGAACAAUUUUGAAGUAUUUGAAAUAAAUUGUAGACCAAUGUA